UACGGGGGGGGCAAGCGUUGUUCGGAAUUACUGGGCGUAAAGGGCGCGUAGGCGGCCUUCUAAGUCGGACGUGAAAUCCCUCGGCUCAACCGAGGAACUGCGUCCGAUACUGGAGGGCUUGAAUCCGGGAGAGGGAUGUGGAAUUCCAGGUGUAGCGGUGAAAUGCGCAGAUAUCAGGAGGAACACCGGUGGCGAAGGCGGGUCUCUGGGCCGAUACUGACGCU
rnacentral:rRNA from 1 species